CAGAAGCCAGAUUUCAGGCAAUUGCAAAGACAGUUGCAAAAUUUCAAAUAGGCAGUUGCCAACCAUAUGCAGAUUUUCUCAAUCUAGCUGGAAUGGUGGUGGAAGUAACACCAGUGGUGUGGCUGGGGAUGCUGCAACUCAGACCUUUACAAUAUUAGCUGAAUUCACAAUGGCUAUCAUCCAUGACCCAAAAAAUGUUUUGGUAACAGUGACUCUAGCAUGUGUUACCACUAUGAAACAGUGGCCCCACAAAGAUCAUCUUCUCAGGGGUGUUCCCUUGAGAGUCCUUCCUGUAAAGAGAGAAUUUGUAAAAACCAAUGCAUCUCUACAUGGCUGGGGAGCUGUGUUUGAGACACCAGAAAUUGAGGGGUAUGUGGCACAGCAUGCUACAGCACAUCAACAUUCUCAAGAUGAAAGCAUUAUGGCUAGCGCUGCAACAUUUUCAACAUCAGUUAAAGGACAAACAUGUCCUUAUAAGAACAGACAAUACCACAGUGGUGUUUUAUAUCAUCCACCAAGGGGGGACAAGAUCUCAGAGCCUGUUAAAAUUGGAACAAAGGCUUUGGAAAUAGGCGGAUGUCCAUCUCCUCUCUCUGAGAGUCAUGUAUCUUCCUGGUCGUUACAGUCAAAUGGUGGACUCUCUGUAUCAGGCCAUUCCCACAUCCUGGGACUGACAUAUUCACAAGGAAGUGAUUCAGUCAAUUUGGGAAACCUAAGGCAGGGCAGAGGUGGACUUAUUUGCAGACAGGCAGACAACUCACUGUCCAAUGUAGUUUUCAGACAAGGACGAGCCACAGGCUCUAGGCCAGGAUGCAUUGGCACACAGCUGGCCAAAAUUCUUGUAUGCAUUUCCACCCCUACCAUUACUAUGGAUGACGUUGGGACAAUUUCCUUUUUUUCACACCACUGAGAAAAAGCUCUCCAUUUAUCUGCAUACGCAUGACGUGUAGUAGGUGCCCGUACAUUCAGUAGUGUGUGAUUGACUACUUGUGAGCAUUCCAAUAUGACUGGGUUGCCCCUAGGGGCCACACCCAUAACUUUAAGGCAACGGUUUUGAAUUCCAAUCCUCGUGCCCCCCUGCUCUGCUC
ensembl:lncRNA